CUUCCUGGUCUUUUGUUAACUGAUCACCUGUCUGGGCAGCAAGAAUUGACAGCUUCAACUGGAAAACUCAUUUAGGUGGAGUUCUGAGCAAGUCUGCUAAUGAUGAACUUCCUUCUUCAGUUCUUGACAGAAACCGUCUCCAGUGUUUCCAUUGCCUCAACGCAGCUCGGAGGACUUCUCUGCCCACUGUGGUCUGGCUGCCCCCCCACCCCCCCCCCCCCGCUCCCGGCACCCACUCCUCCUGGAAGGGCUGCUCCUGCCAAGGUCGUCAACAACCUCCUUGCUCCAGACCAUGCCCAGCGCGCCUCCUUGGUCCGCACUGUCCUUGGCAUCCUGUCCCCCGGGGGACCAGCUCCCAGGCUCGGCUCCUGCCUCUGCACCGCCUCCCUCUCCAUCUCUGUUGCAGGCUCUCCUUCCCACCCCCGGCCUUGAACACAGCCCUCCUCUGCUUUUUCCCCAUCACAACGGGGCUAUUUCUCCUGUGUGUCGCAGGCACCGAAUUUCAUUAUGUCACAAGCGGAGCGAUGCCUCUCAUACCCCCACCCAUACCUGCCCAGACCUGAGAGCUGCUGUCCUAUGCUCCCCGCCCAGGAAAGCCACCAUCGUCCACAAGGGGGCUUGUCCCCUCCCCUCCCCCACCAUCCCCCACAAAUCGUUGCCCAGAGCUGCCCUUGACCUUUCAGAUCCCCUCACCUCUGCCUCCUUCCAUCCACCCCGGAUGCCACGAUUCCUGCCUGGAUUCCUGGAAGUGCCCCCUCACUAGUCUCCCUUCUCUCCAACCACUUCUCCAAACCACAGACCGAAUGCUCUUUCUAAAAUGAAAAUCUUGGAGUUCCCAUGGUGGCUCAGCAGGUGAAGAACCCAACAUAGUGUCCAUGAGGAUGCGGGUUCGAUUCCUGGCCUCGCUCAGUGGGUUAAGGAGUAGGCAUUGCUGCAAGCUGCAGUGUAGGUGGCAGAUGCUGCUGAGAUGCCAUUGCUGUGGCUGUGGCUAGGCUGGCAGCUGCAGCUCCCACUGACCCCUAGCCUAGGAACUUCCAUAUGCCGCAGGUUCAGCCCUUGAAAGAAAAAAUAAAAUAAUAAAAUAAAA
rnacentral:lncRNA from 1 species